rnacentral:rRNA from 1 species
GACCUCAAAUCAGGCAGGAUUACCCGCUGAACUUAAGCAUAUCAAUAAGCGGAGGAAAAGAAACUAACAAGGAUUCCCCUAGUAACGGCGAGUGAAGCGGGAAGAGCUCAAAUUUGAAAUCUGGCACUUUCAGUGUCCGAGUUGUAAUCUCGAGAAGUGUUUUCCGCGCCAGACCGCAUACAAGUCUGUUGGAAUACAGCGUCAUAGUGGUGAGAACCCCGUACGUGAUGCGGAUGCCUGGUGCUAUGUGAUACACUUUCGAAGAGUCGAGUUGUUUGGGAAUGCAGCUCAAAUUGGGUGGUAAAUUCCAUCUAAAGCUAAAUAUUGGCGAGAGACCGAUAGCGAACAAGUACCGUGAGGGAAAGAUGAAAAGCACUUUGGAAAGAGAGUUAACAGUACGUGAAAUUGUUGGAAGGGAAACGC